UGCGUCUGAUUAGCUUGUUGGCGGGGUAACGGCCCACCAAGCCGACGAUCAGUAAGGGUUCUGAGAGGAGGGUCCCCCACAUUGGACCUGAGACACGGUCCAAACUCCUACGGGAGGCAGCAGUGAGGAAUAUUGGUCAAUGGGCGAGAGCCUGAACCAGCCAAGUAGCGUGCAGGAUGACGGCCCUAUGGGUUGUAAACUGCUUUUAUAAGGGAAUAAAGUGAGCCUCGUGAGGCUUUUUGCAUGUACCUUAUGAAUAAGGACCGGCUAAUUCCGUGCCAGCAGCCGCGGUAAUACGGAAGGUCCGGGCGUUAUCCGGAUUUAUUGGGUUUAAAGGGAGCGUAGGCCGGAGAUUAAGCGUGUUGUGAAAUGUAGAUGCUCAACAUCUGCACUGCAGCGCGAACUGGUUUCCUUGAGUACGCACAAAGUGGGCGGAAUUCGUGGUGUAGCGGUGAAAUGCUUAGAUAUCACGAAGAACUCCGAUUGCGAAGGCAGCUCACUGGAGCGCAACUGACGCUGAAGCUCGAAAGUGCGGGUAUCGAACAGGAUUAGAUACCCUGGUAGUCCGCACGGUAAACGAUGGAUGCCCGCUGUUGGUCUGAAUAGGUCAGCGGCCAAGCGAAAGCAUUAAGCAUCCCACCUGGGGAGUAC
rnacentral:rRNA from 1 species